rnacentral:rRNA from 1 species
UACGAAGGGGGCUAGCGUUGUUCGGAAUUACUGGGCGUAAAGCGCACGUAGGCGGAUCGAUCAGUCAGGGGUGAAAUCCCGGGGCUCAACCCCGGAACUGCCUUUGAUACUGGGUAUCUCGAGUCCGAGAGAGGUGAGUGGAAUUCCGAGUGUAGAGGUGAAAUUCGUAGAUAUUCGGAGGAACACCAGUGGCGAAGGCGGCUCACUGGCUCGGUACUGACGCUGAGGUGCGAAAGCGUGGGGAGCAAACAGG